UACGCCGCCGGCCGCUGGAGUCGCUAUGGCGCGGGCACUCAGCCUGCCCAGGAUUCCGGGUGCACAGAGCCAGCGUUAAGGGUUUCCCGGCCCCUGCUCCGCUGUCCGCGAGUGCCACGAUUCAUCCACCGAGUCGACUUCCUAUCUGAAGUCAGCAAGCUCGAGUUGCAGUCGACCGCGAUUUCAAACCGAGUCCGUUAUUGUCUCCGAAGCUUCUUUCUUUUUUCAGACUGAACCAGGCUCUGCCAGGCAGGCUGCCGCGGGAUUCCACCCGAACCACGAACCACGAACCACGAACCACGAACCACGAACCACGGUCUCGACUACGUGAGCAAAACGCUGCAAGAACCGUCGGAGGCCCCAGGGCGAGUCCACACCCGAUGCGGUCAGGACUCCGCGGUGUGGUUUCGUUUUCGCGUCCUCUACACCAGGAUAGCCACCGUUUAUAUAAACGCUGAAAUUCACCCGAUUUCUUUCGGUAGCAAUAUCAGAACCGAAUGCCAUCGGCAAAGACGCGUUUUGACCCGGCAAGUGGCCGACCAUUCGACCCGAAACGAACGGAAAUAGACGAAUUCGGUGUUUUUUUUUUUUUUUUCCGCAAAUUAAUCUCCAUUGCAUCUGCGUUCCUUUCACUGUGCUGAAGGUUUUCGGGGACAUCACGGGUCAGAACUCGAGAACUCUUGUCUCCUGUGGCCCUCUCCGUCUCCGUCUCUCUCCUUUCACUCAGCCCCAACGCGACUCCUGGCGCCCAGAACCAGCGCUAAGGGUUUUCCCGGGCAGUGAUCCACGAGUAUCUGUGAUUCAUCCACCGAGCCUACUUCUGAUCGACUGUCAGCAGGCCGGGACAGAAAUCAGACGGCCAUUUCGAACCACCUCGGUGAUUUUCUCCAUAGCUUUCGUUUUUCAGACUGAAUCAGACUCUGUCAGGCAGGCUGCCUCGGGAUUCGCUCCGAGCCGGGAACCACUAUCCGGAUGACGUGAGUAAAAAUGCUGAAAGUAAAAAUGAUGGCUUUGCCCUGUUGCAAGCAUGCAGCUGGUGCAGUCAGGACGCCGCGGUUAUGGUUCGUUAUGGGAUCCUCUAUGGUCAGCUCACGGUCGUUUCUAAGAGCUGAAAAAUUCUCCGGGUUUCUUUAGUUAGCCGAUUCCGAAGCGAAGCCGUCGGCAAAUGCUCAUUUUUUGCCGGGUAAGUGUCCCAGGAAGUUCGACCCUAGCUCCCUGGAAGACGACAAAUUCGGGGUUUGUACCAAUGAAUUUUUGUUCCUUUCGCUGCGCCUACGGGUUUUGGUGACAGCACGGUCCAGGGCUCGAAUAUGGCGCUGUCUUUGAUGGCCAUCUCCAGCUCGAGGUCCUUUCUCCAUAAGCAGCGCCAAUAAGGCCCAGGAUAAGGCUCCUACCGAGGGCAAGACGCUAGACCAUGAAGGUCGACAUCCCGAAUUUGGUCUGGCCUUGAGAACCUCUCUCAGUCCAUGGUUAGUGAGACAGCCCUGGGGUCCAAGGUGGUAAGUGGGAAGAGGGGGAGAUGCAACUAAAGGGGAAGUGUGUGCUUGCAGGCAAAAACUCUUCUGACAACAUUCCACAGCUCACUCUCCUAGCUGUGGGCCCUACCAUUUUUCACCUCAGGGUAGAGCCAGCACUUGGCCUCUAGGCUAUUCUGGUGCCCAAAGCCAGUUCUUUGGCUUUCUGGACCCAUGUUCAGCCAGUAUUAUUGCUUCCUUCUCUGAUUUCGCAUAGGGUGCUAGCAAGCUUGGACUGUGUUCCUUUUGUGAUGCCCAUGGUUAGUGUUCCCAUGAACUGCUGUCUGGAAUUGCCUUCUCCUUGCUGCCCUUCCUGUAAUCCGGUGCAGCUACUGCCCAGGUGUGUUUUCUUACCGCUGGCAACACCCUGGACCAUGCUGGCCUGAGGGCUUCUCUCUCACACGCUGCUGCGGAUUUUGGUCUGUCCUUGGGAUCCAGGACAAGUCCAUAGCUAUUCUGCCAGCCCCUCUUUCCCAUCACUGGGAGGGAACAGUGGGAGCUGGGGCUCUUGAAGGUAGGUAUCAGAAAGCUAUAUAGUUCACAGGGAGAUCCUUAACUUCGCCCCCAGCUGCAGGCAGUUUCUUGAUUCACUGGUAUUUAUUGGGCUUGGCUAUCAGCAUCCCAUGGAGUAGUUGAAUUUUCAACUCUGUAAUUUAGGAAACACUGUGUUAGGUUUGUAUUUUUUUAUGGUUUUUAAUGUUCUGAUGCACCUACUGCUGAACCUGGGUACCAUAGCUAUUGUAACUUAUAUUUUUGUUAGAACCUUUCUUCUUUCUCUUUCCUCCUCCCAAACCCUCCCAUCCCAAUGCUCCUUCAAAUUCCUAGGAAAUUUUUCACUAAUAGUUAAUACAUGAACAUUUUUAUAUUUACAGAUACUACUAAAUAUACCCUGAAUUAUGAUUUCUGAUGCUAUGACUCACUUAACACUGCAACCCUUUCUUUGUGUCUUAAUCCUGUAUCGCUAACACUUGGGCAGUUCUCUAUGCCCAUUUACAGUUUUUAGUGCAGUAACUUGCGUGACACUGCGUCUGGUUGGUAUGUGUAUCCACCUGGUUUUGGUUGAGGCUGAUGUUGGUCUUCUUCUUUGUGUUUUAUCUGUCUCUGGAUGUCUGAAUAGCACUUGCAUGCCCGACGUUCUUGAAGGCCAGAGAAACAAGAGACCCCAGAGAUACUUAAACAAUGACGUUAUUUGCAGCCUUAUUUGCAAAAGCUAUGUGAUGUAUCCAAGGAAAACAUCCAGCAAUGUGAAGGCUGCGGGGGGAACAGACAUGAAAGCAUUGUUGCCCUUCACCAAGAAGGAUGAAGUCAUGUGGUCUGCAGAGAGACACCUGAGCCUGGAGAUAAUCACACCAAGCUGAUGGGAGAGUCCAUGAUGGCAGGGAGAAGCAAUAGCUGAGAGCUCCUAUCUUGAUCAGACACCAGAAAGUGCCCACAGAUGCCAGAAGAGUUUUUCAGAUUCCCAGAAAAUUUUCAAUGCUGGGAACUAAACCUGGGACCUCCACAAAAAUUUUGCAUCCAUGUUUUUCUGUGUACCACAUGUGUACCACACGUGUACCACAUGUGUGCCCGGUGCCUGCAAAUCCCAAAAGAGGAUGUCUGAUCUCCUGGAACUCAUACAAGAAGAGUCUCAGCAUAAAAAUAACAUAUAUGAAUUUUAAAAUCAAGGCUAUGAGAAAUAGGAUAUGAAAAUAAAUGUUUAUUAAAUACAUA